rnacentral:rRNA from 1 species
AGUGAACGCUGGCGGUAGGCCUAACACAUGCAAGUCGAACGGCAGCACAGUAAGAGCUUGCUCUUACGGGUGGCGAGUGGCGGACGGGUGAGGAAUACAUCGGAAUCUACUUUUUCGUGGGGGAUAACGUAGGGAAACUUACGCUAAUACCGCAUACGACCUACGGGUGAAAGCAGGGGAUCUUCGGACCUUGCGCGAUUGAAUGAGCCGAUGUCGGAUUAGCUAGUUGGCGGGGUAAAGGCCCACCAAGGCGACGAUCCGUAGCUGGUGUGAGAGGAUGAUCGGCCACAUUGGAGCGGAGACGCGGUCCAGACUCCUGCGGGAGGGAGCAGUGGGGAAUGUUGGACAAUGGGCGCAAGCCUGAUCCAGCCAUACCGCGUGGGUGAAGAAGGCCUUCGGGUUGUAAAGCCCUUUUGUUGGGAAAGAAAAGCAGCAGGUUAAUACCCCGCUGUUCUGACGGUACCCAAAGAAUAAGCACCGGCUAACUUCGUG